rnacentral:rRNA from 1 species
GAUGAACGCUGGCGGCGUGCCUAAUACAUGCAAGUCGAGCGAACAGACGAGGAGCUUGCUCCUCUGACGUUAGCGGCGGACGGGUGAGUAACACGUGGAUAACCUACCUAUAAGACUGGGAUAACUUCGGGAAACCGGAGCUAAUACCGGAUAAUAUAUUGAACCGCAUGGUUCAAUAGUGAAAGACGGUUUUGCUGUCACUUAUAGAUGGAUCCGCGCCGCAUUAGCUAGUUGGUAAGGUAACGGCUUACCAAGGCAACGAUGCGUAGCCGACCUGAGAGGGGGAGGGGGCAGCAGGGGACUGUGACACGGUCCAGACUCCUACGGGGGGCAGCAGCGCGGAAUGUUCCGAAAUGGGCGAAGGCCUGACGGAGCAACGCCGGGGGAGAGAGGAAGGUUUUAGGAUCUUAAAACUUUUUUAUGAGGAAAGAAAAAAUGUGUAAGUAAAUAGGAACGUCUGGACGGUACCUAAUCAGAAAGCCACGGCUAACUACGUG